GAUGAACGCUGGCGGCGUGCCUAAUACAUGCAAGUCGAGCGAACGGACGAGAAGCUUGCUUCUCUGAUGUUAGCGGCGGACGGAUGAGUAACACGUGGAUAACCUACCUAUAAGACUGGGAUAACUUCGGGAAACCGGAGCUAAUACCGGAUAAUAUUUUGAACCGCAUGGUUCAAAAGUGAAAGACGGUCUUGCUGUCACUUAUAGAUGGAUCCGCGCUGCAUUAGCUAGUUGGUAAGGUAACGGCUUACCAAGGCAACGAUGCAUAGCCGACCUGAGAGGGUGAUCGGCCACACUGGAACUGAGACACGGUCCAGACUCCUACGGGAGGCAGCAGUAGGGAAUCUUCCGCAAUGGGCGAAAGCCUGACGGAGCAACGCCGCGUGAGUGAUGAAGGUCUUCGGAUCGUAAAGCUCUGUUAUUAGGGAAGAACAUAUGUGUAAGUAACUGUGCACAUCUUGACGGUACCUAAUCAGAAAGCCACGGCUAACUACGUG
rnacentral:rRNA from 1 species